rnacentral:rRNA from 1 species
GACGAACGCUGGCGGCGUGCUUAACACAUGCAAGUCGAACGGAAAGGCCCUGCUUUUGUGGGGUGCUCGAGUGGCGAACGGGUGAGUAACACGUGAGUAACCUGCCCUUGACUUUGGGAUAACUUCAGGAAACUGGGGCUAAUACCGGAUAGGAGCUCCUGCUGCAUGGUGGGGGUUGGAAAGUUUCGGCGGCUGGGGAUGGACUCGCGGCUUAUCAGCUUGUUGGUGGGGUAGUGGCUUACCAAGGCUUUGACGGGUAGCCGGCCUGAGAGGGUGACCGGCCAAAUUGGGACUGAGAUACGGCCCAGACUCCUACGGGAGGCAGCAGUGGGGAAUAUUGCACAAUGGGCGGAAGCCUGAUGCAGCAACGCCGCGUGCGGGAUGACGGCCUUCGGGUUGUAAACCGCUUUCGCCUGUGACGAAGCGUGAGUGACGGUAAUGGGUAAAGAAGCACCGGCUAACUACGUG